UACGGAGGGUGCGAGCGUUAUCCGGAUUUACUGGGUUUAAAGGGUGCGUAGGCGGACUGUUAAGUCAGUGGUGAAAGAUUCGGGCUCAACCCGAAAAUUGCCAUUGAUACUGGCAGUCUUGAGUACAGUUGAGGUAGGCGGAAUGUGUCAUGUAGCGGUGAAAUGCAUAGAUAUGACACAGAACACCGAUUGCGAAGGCAGCUUGCUAAACUGUAACUGACGCUGAGGCACGAAAGCGUGGGGAUCAAACAGG
rnacentral:rRNA from 1 species